UGGCGCCUAGCUAUGCGCCAUCUGCUGCCGGGGUAUCUGGUCCGUGGCCAACGCAUCUAACCCGUAAGUGCCGGCACCGGGAGCCUGCGUGCGGACGCCGGAUCUAGUGGCCGCGGACGCUGGGCGGGGCCUGGCGAACGCGGGGUUGGGGCCUGGCGAACGCGGGGCGGGGCCUGGCGGACGCGGGUCGGGGCCUGGCGGACUCGGGGCGGGGCCUGGCGAACGCCGGGGGCGGGGCCCGUCGCUGCGAUGGUGUCAGUUUUCUGUCCUAUUAGGCGUAACACGUGUCAACCCGGAUCGGUGUUGUCUCUUCCCAGAUGCGGAAGGUCGCGUGAAGGUCUCGGAUGUGUGACGAAUGAAUGACAUCAUUUACACGUACUGCCAUCAUCGUCACUGUCAUCAUCUAAUGCGAAUGACUCGUGGCGGGCCAGGUGGAAUGGGCUGCUCUACCUGACUUCUACAGCAGCAGAAAGAGAAGUCAAUCUGAGGAGUCAGCUACCCCAUGAUUUGUCACUGCCACAGAACUGCAGGAAAACAUUGCUCCUAUGCAGGUCCUCAAUCCAACAGCUGAAGAUGACUCAGGGCCCAGUUAAGCCAGGCACUCCCACUCCCCGUUUCCAUCACUGCUCACUACACCCCAAGCUCUGUGACAGGAGGGGGCUCUGGGGGAUCUUCCAGCAUCUGCCACUCACCCCAGAGACUAGUCCUUUCUUCAAGGCAAUUUUGUUUAGGGUUCAUAUUGACUUUUCUUGAAAUAUUUGUUCUUGUUCUCUUUGGUUACAGCCAGCCAGCUGUUCUACCUUCAGCAGAUCUUCAUAACCUUAAAUCUUGCAGAACAGGUUUUGGGGUGCCAAUUAUUCAUCCAACAAAUAUUUAUUCAGUGCCUAACAAGUACCAGGCUCUAUGUCAGGUGCUGGGGAUACAACAACUAACAAGGCCCUUGCCCUCGUGAGGCUUACAUAUCUACUAAGAGGAGAAAGGACAAAAACACCAGUAAACAAAUAAUGUAAUUUCAGAAACUGUUAAGCUUUAUAAGGACUGAGGAUGGAGAUUGGCAGAGAAAGGGAAAGUGAAGUUAGUAGGGUGACACUGAGCUGAGAUCUAAAUGAUACAGAGCCAGCUAUCUGAAGAUCUGGAAUUAAGAAUGUUCCAGGUAAGGGAAAAGCAAGCAGAAAGGCUCUGAGACUGGAAAUGAGCUUGCUACUUUUGGCAGACAGAAAAUCCUGUGGCUGGGAGCACUGUCAAUGAGCGGGGAGGAUGACUGGAAGCAAGGUUGCCAGAUUUUGCAAAUAAAAACAUAGGCCAUCCAGCA
rnacentral:lncRNA from 12 species